CAUGCUUUUUGCCCAUAUAUACCGAACGAUGAUUCGAGGGUAACAACAGCUAGCUAGGAACCCGUCCUGGCCAUUUGCUGGAAUCUUCUUGACGUCGUCAAAGCUUCCAUGCAGCGCUGCGUAGAUAUCCACGCGAACAUAAAAACUCAUAUACCUGGCUUUUCUCAUCGCCAUUAUUUCUGAAUUAAGCGCCGUUUUUUUUUUUUUUUUUUUUUUUGCUUUUUGCUUUUUCUGCGGUUACCUGUAUCGCGAUUACCGCCUCCAACACCGCCUUCUGGGUUGAGCUUGCGUAAUAUUUACCUGGUGGUUGCCGUAUUGAAAUACCCAUGUCUUCUCAGCCAGUGUGGAAUUCUUGCGGUUCUCUUCCGUCCAGCUAUGCUCCACGACAUCCAAGACGCCCGAGACGCCCAACAGAUCCCCUAGUUUUAUCUUCCUCUUCAUUUUCAUUCCCAGCCACAAUCGACUUGCUUUGAGUUUUGUCCUCCUGUUGACCCGGCCAGACCGCCAAGUUAACUCGCUAGCUCAUCGACGUUGUGCGCGGCGCGAACACCGGAACUCACCGCUGGAUUCCGGAAAGCAAAAGUGAGCAAGGGAAAGAAAGAGUGACGGAGAGCUGCGGAUAGAUAUACAAGGAGACGGGAAGCAAGAAAGCGGGGUGGGUGAGGCUGUCUGGGCCUGUCACUUGAGACGAGUCUGCCAAAUUGCUACUUUGAUCUAUAUGACCUGCUCGCUUUUGGCCAUCUCGUUGCUAUAUUUCUCUCGUGCAACUGGUUUGUCUACAAAUUAGAAGAACGGCAACAACCUCGUUGCACAACGCGUAGCUCCGUUGCUGCAGCCGAUAUCAAGAACUAUCAGCCCAACCUGGAAUUUGGCUGUGCCCUAUUCCUGGUCAAUUGACCCGCGUUAUCCCACCCAUCAUCGCCCAACCCGUUUAGUUUUAGAUCUAUCCACCAUUCCCACGCCAUACCUUCCCGAUCGCAUCGCUAGAUUUUAAAGAAGGGUUGCUAGCCAGUGCGCGCCAACAGCGCGUUUGAGAAUUAACUGUGCUGGUCCCGUUCAAUAGAGGCGCCAUUAUAGCGCAGCAACCCGGGCUGCAUAGAACCCGCAGAUCCUAGGACUCGAGAGGAGUGACGUGGUCAUUUAGUCCGUGUCGACGGUAAUUCCCGUGCGCGUAUCCAAAAGACGUAAAAAUCAUGUCGUCGGCCUCUCCUCCAAAGGAACCAGAGGUGGAACCAGGAACUCAGUCAGGCGAAGACGCGGAGCAUAUGGAACGAGAACACCAAGAUACACAAGCGCAAGGUCAGGGAGAAUUUGAGGUGAAAGAGCAGGAUCGAUGGCUUCCAAUUGCAAAUGUUGCUCGCAUAAUGAAAACCGCUCUCCCCGACAACGCCAAGAUCGCGAAGGAGGCAAAAGAAUGCAUGCAAGAAUGUGUGAGCGAGUUCAUCUCGUUCAUCACCAGCGAAGCUUCGGAAAAAUGUCAACAAGAGAAAAGGAAGACAGUCAAUGGGGAAGACAUCCUCUUUGCGAUGACCUCACUCGGAUUCGAGAACUACUCCGAAGCGCUGAAGAUAUAUCUUUCAAAAUAUCGAGAAACCCAAUCCUCAAGGGGGGAGAACCAGAACCGGCCACCGAGCAGAGGGUACGGCGGACCAGUCGGGGCAACUGGAAGCGGUGCCCCAGGUGCUGGCAAUCCAGCGGGACCAGGUUUCGCGGUCGCACCCGAGACUUCCAGCAACAUAUUGAGCCCGAACCUGGACCCCAACGAACAGGCCGGCGCAACAUACGGAUAUUCCACUAUGGUGGCCCCUUCGCACAAUGGUGCCGGUGGCGAGACUUACUGACUCUCGCGAACACGUUUCCUGGUCUAGGGAUACGCUCGCGAGUGACUACAAUGCAGAAUUGUAGCUGUUUGCGACAACCCAGGCCUCGAGCAAGACCUGAGGAAGUGACGUUGAGAUCUAGGAUCAUGAAGAGAAAGGGGAGGCGAAAACGAAGCAGACGAGAGUCAGGAAGUGUGGUUAAAGAGAGUUGGAAGGGUGUGAUGGCGAUUCGACCAAUUUGACAGCGGCGAGGAUUUUUCUUACCUUUUCUCCUUGUUGUCAUUUCCUUUCUUUCUUAUUUUUCCCUACAACCUACCUAUUUUAUCGGAUAACUUGUAUACAAUUUUCAAAGCUUCCUUGAAGGAGCAAGGUCAUAAUUCCAACAGAAAUUGAAUCAGCGGAGAGAUCAUGAGAUUGAAACUGCACUGAAAGGAUUUGACCUCAAGGACACCUUGGUUUUUUGAUGUGCAGAUAAGAAUAGACUUGAUUCAGGGGU
rnacentral:sRNA from 1 species